rnacentral:rRNA from 1 species
GACGAACGCUGGCGGCGUGCCUAAUACAUGCAAGUCGUGCGGACCUUGUUGAAAGCUUGCUUUUAAAAGGUUAGCGGCGGACGGGUGAGUAACACGUGGGCAACCUGCCUGUAAGACUGGGAUAACGCCGGGAAACCGGGGCUAAUACCAGAUCGUUUUUUCCUCCGCAUGGAGGAAAAAGGAAAGGCGGCUUCGGCUGCCACUUACAGAUGGGCCCGCGGCGCAUUAGCUUGUUGGCGGGGUAAUGGCCCACCAAGGCAACGAUGCGUAGCCGACCUGAGAGGGUGAUCGGCCACAUUGGGACUGAGACACGGCCCAAACUCCUACGGGAGGCAGCAGUAGGGAAUCUUCCGCAAUGGACGAAAGUCUGACGGAGCAACGCCGCGUGAGUGAAGAAGGCCUUCGGGUCGUAAAACUCUGUUGCCGGGGAAGAACAAGUGCCGUUCGAACAGGGCGGCGCCUUGACGGUACCCGGCCAGAAAGCCACGGCUAACUACGUG